rnacentral:rRNA from 1 species
GCGACAGGCUUAACACAUGCAAGUCGAGGGGCAGCGGGGGUAGCGAUACCCGCCGGCGACCGGCGCACGGGUGAGUAACGCGUAUGCAACUUGCCUAUCAGAGGGGGAUAACCCGGCGAAAGUCGGACUAAUACCGCAUGAAGCAGGGGCCCCGCAUGGGGAUAUUUGCUAAAGAUUCAUCGCUGAUAGAUAGGCAUGCGUUCCAUUAGGCAGUUGGCGGGGUAACGGCCCACCAAACCGACGAUGGAUAGGGGUUCUGAGAGGAAGGUCCCCCACAUUGGUACUGAGACACGGACCAAACUCCUACGGGAGGCAGCAGUGAGGAAUAUUGGUCAAUGGCCGAGAGGCUGAACCAGCCAAGUCGCGUGAGGGAUGAAGGUUCUAUGGAUCGUAAACCUCUUUUAUAAGGGAAUAAAGUGCGGGACGUGUCCCGUUUUGUAUGUACCUUAUGAAUAAGGAUCGGCUAACUCCGUGCCAGCAGCCGCGGUAAUACGGAGGAUCCGAGCGUUAUCCGGAUUUAUUGGGUUUAAAGGGUGCGUAGGCGGCCUUUUAAGUCAGCGGUGAAAGUCUGUGGCUCGACCAUAGAAUUGCCGUUGAAACUGGGGGGCUUGAGUAUGUUUGAGGCAGGCGGAAUGCGUGGUGUAGCGGUGAAAUGCAUAGAUAUCACGCAGAACCCCGAUUGCGAAGGCAGCCUGCCAAGCCAUUACUGACGCUGAUGCACGAAAGCGUGGGGAUCAAACAGGAUUAGAUACCCUGGUAGUCCACGCAGUAAACGAUGAUCACUGGCUGUUUGCGAUACACUGUAAGCGGCACAGCGAAAGCGUUAAGUGAUCCACCUGGGGAGUACGCCGGCAACGGUGAAACUCAAAGGAAUUGACGGGGGCCCGCACAAGCGGAGGAACAUGUGGUUUAAUUCGAUGAUACGCGAGGAACCUUACCCGGGUUUGAACGCAUUCGGACCGAGGUGGAAACACCUUUUCUAGCAAUAGCCGUUUGCGAGGUGCUGCAUGGUUGUCGUCAGCUCGUGCCGUGAGGUGUCGGCUUAAGUGCCAUAACGAGCGCAACCCUUGCCACUAGUUACUAACAGGUAAAGCUGAGGACUCUGGUGGGACUGCCAGCGUAAGCUGCGAGGAAGGCGGGGAUGACGUCAAAUCAGCACGGCCCUUACAUCCGGGGCGACACACGUGUUACAAUGGCGUGGACAAAGGGAGGCCACCUGGCGACAGGGAGCGAAUCCCCAAACCACGUCUCAGUUCGGAUCGGAGUCUGCAACCCGACUCCGUGAAGCUGGAUUCGCUAGUAAUCGCGCAUCAGCCAUGGCGCGGUGAAUACGUUCCCGGGCCUUGUACACACCGCCCGUCAAGCCAUGGGAGCCGGGGGUACCUGAAGUCUGUAACCGAAAAGAUCGGCCUAGGGUAAAACUGGUGACUGGGGCUAAG